GUCCACGCCCUAAACGAUGUCGACUGGUUGUUGGGGGUUUGACACUCUCAGUAACGAAGCUAACGCGUGAAGUCGACCGCCUGGGGAGUACGGCCGCAAGGUUAAAACUCAAAGGAAUUGACGGGGACCCGCACAAGCGGUGGAUUAUGUGGAUUAAUUCGAUGCAACGCGAAAAACCUUACCUACCCUUGACAUGUCCGGAAGGCUGCUGAAAGGCGGCUGUGCCCGAAAGGGAACUGGAACACAGGUGCUGCAUGGCUGUCGU
rnacentral:rRNA from 1 species